ensembl:lncRNA
GGCAACGUCUCUCUCGGUGAACAGGCUGCCGACCGUCGGCUGUUUCCACAAUGUCUGGAGAAUUAUUUUAACGGAGUAGGAGCCGAGAGGAGCCGCCGGAGCAGCGUUAGAGUUACACUGCGAGCAGCUGGAGGAACAAAGAAUCCUGUCUUCAAAGGGAGCUGAAUGUGGGCCACCUGAGUUACUUCGCCUGUAAGCAUUUUGUUGAAUCACCGUGCCCUAUCUUGGCAGAGGUGACUCAUCAGUUGUUUUUUUUUUCUUGUUACUUUAUUCUUGAAGAGGAUUUUAAGGAACUUACUCACAAGCAUUCAAUCAUGGUCAUCUGUUGGGUGAACAAUGAAAUCUUUCCAAGAUCAUCUUUUGUGAUAGUUGUC